AGGUUUUCUAUCUCUUGGCGAUUUACCAGUUGAUGAAGAAUAAGGAGAACUAUACUGUGGGCCUAGAGUGAGAUGGAAGGAGAAAAACCAGCAAAGUAAAGCCAAACCUGCAGGAGAGACCAUGGAGGACCAUGGAGGAUUGUCCAGAUCUUUACCUAUGGAGAGAUAAAAAGUUGCAGAACAGAGGAUAAAUUGUUGGAGGUUUACAGGAACAUCCUGACCUGACCUACGUGGACAGCUGCAAGAACAAAGGAUUCUGACACCAAGAAGUCUGCAACAACCAACCACACCCUCUCCCCUGUUAGUAUAAAGGAAGCCUGAAUUCUAACUUGGGUAAGAUGGUUCUU